GCUUGGGUAGCUCAGUUGGUAGAGCGCUUCCCUGAAGAGGAAGAUGUCGCCGGUUCGAGCCCGGCCCCAAGCACCA
rnacentral:tRNA from 1 species